AAAUCUGUUUUAUUCUCAAUACAUUGUUAUUAACCAUAGUCAUCAUGUUAUACAAUAGAUCUCUUGAACUCAUUUCUCCUAACUGAAAUUUGUAUCCCUUGACCAAGGUUUUCCCCAGUCCCCCAUCAG